UACGUAGGGGGCGAGCGUUGUCCGAAGUUACUGGGCGUAAAGCGCGCGUAGGCGGUCCUUUAAGUCUGAGGUGAAAGGUUCAGCGCUCAACGUGAACAGUGCCUUGGAGACUGUGGGACUUGAGUGUGGGAGAGGGCAGUGGAAUUCCUGGUGUAGCGGUGGAAUGCGUAGAGAUCCGGAAGAACACCGGUGGCGAAGGCGGCCUGCUGGGCAGUUGCUGACACUGAGGCGCGACAGCGUGGGGAGCAAACAGG
rnacentral:rRNA from 1 species